ACUUCUGUUCCUCCCCGCCCUGGUGCUGCUCCGGGUCACAUACUCGUCCUGAGCCGGCUUCAGCCUCUCCGCGCAGAAGUCUCCCGGAGCCGACUUCUGAGAGUCGAGUACUCCUAUGUGAAGACUACCAAGCUCGUGUUCAAGGGAACCAAGGCGAAGAGAUUUGCCCGAGGUUGACUGUACAUACAAAUAUUGAGCAUUUCCUCCUGGUCUCCGUGAUAAACAGAGGUUUUGAUAUUUUUAGGCGAGAUGGAAAGAAAGUAUCAAGGAGUGAGCUGAAGCCACUGCCCUUGAGAACCCUCUCGAGGAGUCUGGGCUCAUGAGGAUGCCAGAAUAAGUGGCAGUAAGAAGAAAAAGAACAAAGAUAAGAAAAGAAAAAGAGAAGAAGAUGAAGAAACCCAGCUUGAUAUGUUGAAUCACCCUGAAAUCUGGCUAUGGAAAAUAUCUUGGUAUAAAUUCAGAUGAACUUGUUGUUGGGCGUUCAGAUGCAAUUGGACCAAGAGAACAAUGGGAACCAGUCUUUAAAAUUGGGAAAAUGGCUUUGUCGACCUCAAAUAGCUGCUUUAUUAGAUACAGUGAAGCAGAGGACAUAGAAGCAAAAAGUAAAACAGCAGGAGAAGAAGAAAUGAUCAAGGCUCUCCUAAUCUCUGUCAGACCUUCACCUUUAUGACCUUGCCUUAUCUACCAGAACACAGAUCCCUCUUACUAAAGAUUAGAUCCUGUGCUGAAAGAGAAACCAAGAAAAAAGAUGACAUUCCAGAAGAAGACAAAGGAAAUAUAAAACAAUGUGAAAUCAA
rnacentral:lncRNA from 1 species